rnacentral:rRNA from 1 species
GCGGUCUGCUUAACACAUGCAAGUCGAACGGAACUCUUCGGAGUUUAGUGGCGGACGGGUGAGUAACGCGUGAGAAUCUGCCUUCAGGUUGGGGACAACAGUUGGAAACGACUGCUAAUACCCAAUGUGCCGCGAGGUGAAAGCUUUAGUGCCUGAAGAUGAGCUCGCGUCUGAUUAGCUAGUUGGUGAGGUAAUGGCUUACCAAGGCGACGAUCAGUAGCUGGUCUGAGAGGAUGAUCAGCCACACUGGGACUGAGACACGGCCCAGACUCCUACGGGAGGCAGCAGUGGGGAAUUUUCCGCAAUGGGCGAAAGCCUGACGGAGCAAUACCGCGUGCGGGACGAAGGCUUUUGGGUCGUAAACCGCUUUUGUUAGGGAAGAAGAACUGACGGUACCUAACGAAUCAGCAUCGGCUAACUCCGUGCCAGCAGCCGCGGUAAUACGGGGGAUGCAAGCGUUAUCCGGAAUUAUUGGGCGUAAAGCGUCCGCAGGUGGUUUAUCAAGUCUGCUGUCAAAGCGUGGGGCUUAACCCCAUAAAGGCAGUGGAAACUGAGAGACUAGAGUACGGUAGGGGUAGCGGGAAUUCCCAGUGUAGCGGUGAAAUGCGUAGAUAUUGGGAAGAACACCAGCGGCGAAAGCGCGCUACUGGGCCGAAACUGACACUCAUGGACGAAAGCUAGGGGAGCGAAAGGGAUUAGAUACCCCUGUAGUCCUAGCUGUAA